UGUCGUGAGAUGUUGGGUUAAGUCCCGUAACGAGCGCAACCCUUGUCCUUAGUUACCAGCACGUUAUGGUGGGCACUCUAAGGAGACUGCCGGUGACAAACCGGAGGAAGGUGGGGAUGACGUCAAGUCAUCAUGGCCCUUACGGCCUGGGCUACACACGUGCUACAAUGGUCGGUACAAAGGGUUGCCAAGCCGCGAGGUGGAGCUAAUCCCAUAAAACCGAUCGUAGUCCGGAUCGCAGUCUGCAACUCGACUGCGUGAAGUCGGAAUCGCUAGUAAUCGUGAAUCAGAAUGUCACGGUGAAUACGUUCCCGGGCCUU
rnacentral:rRNA from 1 species